rnacentral:rRNA from 1 species
GGAUGAAGGGUUUGAUCCUGGCUCAGGGUUAACGCUGGCGGCGUGCGUAACACAUGCAAGUCGGACGGGUUAUAGAUCUUCGGAGAUAUAACCAGUGGCGAACGGGUGAGUAAAAGGUAGGGACCUGCCCUAAGGACAGAGAUAGCUACUGGAAACGGUAGGUAAACUCUGAUAAGCCAGCGAGGGGAAAAUGGCAGACAGCCUUAGGUUGGACACACUAUCCAUCA